rfam:Triticum aestivum genome assembly, contig: Triticum_aestivum_CS42_TGACv1_scaffold_129315_2BL
CAUGUACUCCCUCCGUCUGGAAAUACUCGUCGGAAAGAUGAAUGUAUCUAGAUGUAUUUUUGUUCUAGAUGCAUCCAUUUUCAUCCAUUUCUACGACAUGUAUUUUCGGACGGAGGGAGUAUAUA